rnacentral:rRNA from 1 species
UAGGGAAUCUUCCGCAAUGGGCGAAAGCCUGACGGAGCAACGCCGCGUGAGUGAUGAAGGUCUUCGGAUCGUAAAACUCUGUUAUUAGGGAAGAACAAAUGUGUAAGUAACUAUGCACGUCUUGACGGUACCUAAUCAGAAAGCCACGGCUAACUACGUGCCAGCAGCCGCGGUAAUACGUAGGUGGCAAGCGUUAUCCGGAAUUAUUGGGCGUAAAGCGCGCGUAGGCGGUUUUUUAAGUCUGAUGUGAAAGCCCACGGCUCAACCGUGGAGGGUCAUUGGAAACUGGAAAGCUUGAGUGCAGAAGAGGAAAGUGGAAUUCCAUGUGUAGCGGUGAAAUGCGCAGAGAUAUGGAGGAACACCAGUGGCGAAGGCGACUUUCUGGUCUGUAACUGACACUGAUGUGCGAAAGCGUGGGGAUCAAACAGG